rnacentral:tRNA from 1 species
GCACCCGUGGCUCAACGGAUAGAGCAUCAGUUUGCGGUACUGGGGGUUGGGAGUUCGAUUCUCUCCGGGUGCGCCA